rnacentral:rRNA from 1 species
GAUGAACGCUGGCGGCGUGCCUAAUACAUGCAAGUCGAGCGAACAGACGAGGAGCUUGCCUCUCUUACGUUAGCGGCGGACGGGUGAGUAACACGUGGAUAACCUACCUAUAAGACUGGGAUAACUUCGGGAAACCGGAGCUAAUACCGGAUAAUAUAUUGAACCGCAUGGUUCAAUAGUGAAAAACGGUUUUGCUGUCACUUAUAGAUGGAACCGCGCCGCAUUAGCUAGUUGGUAAGGUAACGGCUUACCAAGGCGACGAUGCGUAGCCGACCUGAGAGGAUGAUCGGCCACACUGGAACUGAGACACGGUCCAGACUCCUACGGGAGGCAGCAGUAGGGAAUCUUCCGCAAUGGGCGAAAGCCUGACGGAGCAACGCCGCGUGAGUGAUGAAGGUCUUCGGAUCGUAAAGCUCUGUUAUUAGGGAAGAACAAAUGUGUAAGUAACUAUGCACGUCUUGACGGUACCUAAUCAGAAAGCCACGGCUAACUACGUG